ensembl:snoRNA small nucleolar RNA SNORA18
CUUGAGGUACAUCCCAAUGGGGUUUUUUCUAUAGACCCACAUCAUUGGAAAUGCCUCAUAGAGUAAAUACAUGGUUUGAUUUACUCACAGAAUUAUGUUUAAAUCGGUGAGAAAGAACUAUAAUACAAGG